rnacentral:rRNA from 1 species
GAUGAACGCUGGCGGCGUGCCUAAUACAUGCAAGUCGAGCGAACGGACGAGAAGCUUGCUUCUCUGAUGUUAGCGGCGGACGGGUGAGUAACACGUGGAUAACCUACCUAUAAGACUGGGAUAACUUCGGGAAACCGGAGCUAAUACCGGAUAAUAUUUUGAACCGCAUGGUUCAAAAGUGAAAGACGGUCUUGCUGUCACUUAUAGAUGGAUCCGCGCUGCAUUAGCUAGUUGGUAAGGUAACGGCUUACCAAGGCAACGAUGCAUAGCCGACCUGAGAGGGUGAUCGGCCACACUGGAACUGAGACACGGUCCAGACUCCUACGGGAGGCAGCAGUAGGGAAUCUUCCGCAAUGGGCGAAAGCCUGACGGAGCAACGCCGCGUGAGUGAUGAAGGUCUUCGGAUCGUAAAACUCUGUUAUUAGGGAAGAACAUAUGUGUAAGUAACUGUGCACAUCUUGACGGUACCUAAUCAGAAAGCCACGGCUAACUACGUGCCAGCAGCCGCGGUAAUACGUAGGUGGCAAGCGUUAUCCGGAAUUAUUGGGCGUAAAGCGCGCGUAGGCGGUUUUUUAAGUCUGAUGUGAAAGCCCACGGCUCAACCGUGGAGGGUCAUUGGAAACUGGAAAACUUGAGUGCAGAAGAGGAAAGUGGAAUUCCAUGUGUAGCGGUGAAAUGCGCAGAGAUAUGGAGGAACACCAGUGGCGAAGGCGACUUUCUGGUCUGUAACUGACGCUGAUGUGCGAAAGCGUGGGGAUCAAACAGGAUUAGAUACCCUGGUAGUCCACGCCGUAAACGAUGAGUGCUAAGUGUUAGGGGGUUUCCGCCCCUUAGUGCUGCAGCUAACGCAUUAAGCACUCCGCCUGGGGAGUACGACCGCAAGGUUGAAACUCAAAGGAAUUGACGGGGACCCGCACAAGCGGUGGAGCAUGUGGUUUAAUUCGAAGCAACGCGAAGAACCUUACCAAAUCUUGACAUCCUUUGACAACUCUAGAGAUAGAGCCUUCCCCUUCGGGGGACAAAGUGACAGGUGGUGCAUGGUUGUCGUCAGCUCGUGUCGUGAGAUGUUGGGUUAAGUCCCGCAACGAGCGCAACCCUUAAGCUUAGUUGCCAUCAUUAAGUUGGGCACUCUAAGUUGACUGCCGGUGACAAACCGGAGGAAGGUGGGGAUGACGUCAAAUCAUCAUGCCCCUUAUGAUUUGGGCUACACACGUGCUACAAUGGACAAUACAAAGGGCAGCGAAACCGCGAGGUCAAGCAAAUCCCAUAAAGUUGUUCUCAGUUCGGAUUGUAGUCUGCAACUCGACUAACAUGAAGCUGGAAUCGCUAGUAAUCGUAGAUCAGCAUGCUACGGUGAAUACGUUCCCGGG